rnacentral:tRNA from 1 species
UGGGGGAUUAGCUCAGCUGGGAGAGCGCGGGCUUUGCAAGCCUGAGGUCAGCGGUUCGAUCCCGCUAUCCUCCAUC